rnacentral:rRNA from 1 species
CACCUGGAAACAGAUGCUAAUACCGGAUAACAACAGAUGAUGCCUAUCAACUGUUAAAAGAUGGUUCUGCUAUCACUCUUGGGAUGGACCUGCGGGUGCAUUAGCUAGUUGGGUAGGGGUAACGGCCUACCAAGGCGAUGAUGCAUAGCCGAGUUGAGAGACUGAUCGGCCACAUUGGGACUGAGACACGGCCCAAACUCCUACGGGAGGCAGCAGUAGGGGAAUCUUCCACAAUGGACGCAAGUCUGAUGGAGCAAACGCCGCGUGAGUGAAGAAGGGUUUCGGCUCGUAAAGCUCUGUUGUUGGUGAAGAAGGACAGGGGGUAGUAACCGACCUUUGUUUGACGGUAAUCAAUUAGAAAAGUCACGGCUAACUACGUGCCAGCAGCCGCGGUAAAU